rnacentral:lncRNA from 1 species
UUUUAGUGGAAAGCAAUUAAGAAGUGACUGGAAAACACUUGAUGUAAAGGCAGAAUGAGAAGAUCAUAUGGUUCAAUUAACUCAUAUCACCUGUGCAUGUAAAUGUUGAGCCUUCGACUGUAUAUACAUGGCAGAAAGAGAUACAUAAUCUUUAAAGUGAGGACAAUUCAGCCUGCUGACCUACUCAAAUAAAAAAGGAAGAAAGUCUACAUAUCUGAAAUGCUCUUCGAUAGACCAGCAGAUGGUGGCAUAAUCAGUAUGGCCAAGAACCAAGUGGGACUGCCAAUAUCUCACUGGAUGCCCAGGGAGGGCUCCACAUCUGGAACAGGGUGGAAUGAUGUACAUCCUAGCAAAUUCAAUGGUGGACAGACCCCAUGGAGGUCCAGCUAUCUCCUCAGUCCAGAAACCAUGACACUCCUUAAAUUCCCAGUAUUUAAAUAAGUCCCAGAGAAGGAUGAGCAAGGGAAACUGAAGUAGUCAGGACUGAAACUUGAAAUAAUUUUGCUAGGAUUGACUAUACAGUAGAUCCCUGUUAUCCACAGGGGAUACUUUUCAAGACCCCCAGUGGAUGCCUGAAACCACAGAUAGUACUAAACGCUAUAUAUACCAUAUGUUUUCCUAGACAGUAAAGGGUGGGUAGGCUAUAAGAGUGGAUACCCUGGGCAAAGGAAUGAUUCACCUCCUGAGCAAGAUGGAAGGGAACGGCACAGGAUUUCAUCACACUACUCUGAAUGGCAUGCAAGGUAAAACUUACAAAUUGUUUACUCCUGGAAUGUUCCAUUUUAAUACUUUUGGACAGUGGGUAACUGAAACCAUGAAAAGUAGAACUGCUAGUAAAGUGUUUUCUGUCAUUAGGCGAGAUGGGCAAUUGAAAUAAUGAUUAUCAAGAAAAAAAUGGCAAAAAUUGGCAAAUACUUUUGCUAAAAGACUAGACACACACAUGUAACUAUGUGAGAUAAUGGAUAUGUUAAUAUGUUUGAAUACAAUAACCAUCUCACUAUGUAUAUGUACAUCAGAAAUCAUACUGUAUACCUAAAUAUAUACAGUUUUUAAAACUGAAAGAGAAGAAAAGUCAUGUGUGUGUUACACACACAUAUUGUUAAAUGAAUAGAGACAGCCAUUCUCUGGGGGAACACAGUAGGAUUUAGAGAAUGUGUGAAGGAGAAGCUCACUUUCCACACCAUUUGUAUUUCUGUAGAUUGUUUGCAUUUUUCACAUUGGGUCAUGUUACUUUUGUGAUAAAGGUUUUUGUUUCAAAAACAAUGAUUACAAGGCCGG